CCUGAAUCAAGCCUCAGCAUUCACUGUUCUUAGCAUAAGAUAAAAUCCUCUAGGGUAACAAAUCUCUGCUGGGAACACUGGCAGCUUGUACGUCCCCUCAGGCAGCACUCAGCACAAGAAAGUCUUAGACAUUAAAAUCUGAAAACUCUUCUCUUCCGCCCCAACGAUCAAGGGCAGGUUGAUCUGCAACAGUUUAUACUUUGUAUGUGCAAAACUACUACUGGAACUCUCCAACACAUACCCCUUUUAUUCACUUUUAGUUUCUCACCAUCACAUAACAAGAUCUACUAACAGCAGCUUAGCAACCUACUUCAGGCCAGGUCUUUUAGCCUACAUGUGCUGGAAUACCUGAAGAUAUACCAGCAGUCACGGGGCAUGUCCAGUGCAGAUACCACCAACACACUAGGCCCUGCUGCAGGGUUCAGCUGUGUUCGUCCUUGACCGUUUAUGAAGCACUCUGCAACUACACCAAGGCCUGGAGCCAAUAAAUAAAUAAAUAAAUAAAUAAAUACAAAUGCUGUGAGGACCAAGGGAUGCCCAAGGCAGGCAGGCCUGGCACUGCAGCCCCCUCCUCUGCCCCCACUCUCCAGCCAUGCAUGGCAGCAGCUCAAGGUCCUUGGCCAUGCCAAGGCUCUCCUCCCACCUGAGGGCUGUGCCCUGGAAAUUCAGGGAGAAGAACAAUUACCAGUGCUUUAUACACUUUUGCAACAAAACUCCUGCCCUCUGGAGAGCAAGGCCUUCGAUUUAACAACAUGCCUAUAGGUAUGUAAAAAUCACAUUAUCUUUUAAGUCUGUUGCAUCCAAAAAUUUUGCCUUGACUAAUUGUAUGUCUCUGCUGUGCCACAUGAAAUACCAUGCCUGUUUACAUGGCACCAUACAGAACUGGGCAGCAAUGCUAGCUCAUAUCAGUGAGUAACAUCAGCUCAACAUUGCAUUUGAGCUGAUCAGCCAUGUCUUUCACCAGGGCUAGCUAAUCCACACACAAAACUCUGCUGAUGUGGAUAUGUUCCUUCCAGCUAGAAAUCUGCCCACGUUGUGUGAUAUGCA
rnacentral:lncRNA from 1 species